UACACCAAUUAUUUACAUGUAUUCAUAGAUUUACAGAUCAACAGGUAUUAAAGAGAUGCUUUAGGUCACCAGUGGCUGUUUGGGUCUGUAUGGGUUAAAAUUAAGUGGCAAUUGACUAUCAACUACUUGCACUGUAGGUGGUGAAAAAAAAAUCUGCAUUCACAUUUUCUUAUUUGGAGGUAUAAAACCUGAUGACACAGACAAACGUACUUUCUGUGCGUGAUAGCAGAGGAGACUACUUCCUGGAUGUUGCUCCAGUUCUAUGAAUAUGCAAGUAGCCAUUUUACAGGUGUGAAGACAAGAUAAUGUAAAUGAAACUGCACAAAUAUUGGUAGGAACAUGUCCGUACCGCCCAUAUACAAAUCUACACCCUCCCUAUUGUACCUAUAAUUGAAUUUAUUUAUCUAAAAAAUCAUUUCAACACAUACCGAGCAUGCAUUGCACAAGCAUGCCUCAUAUUGUAUCCUGAUGAACUUUGCUAUAAUAAUGAUAUGUAAGGAAAAAACUGAAAGCAUUGAAAAUGUGUUUUAUAGAAUGUGAGGCUCGGUCUGUUAAAGAUAUUAUCAGUCCUUAAAGACCUAGAACUAUUUCAAAUGAGUUUGUACUCUUCUAUAACCUUUCCUAAGUGAUUUCUUAUAAUAUUAUCCUCCGCAUUUUGCAUUUUUCAGUGAAAUGUACAUAUUUUCUUAUGUUUUAUUGACAGACCAUGUAGAUAUUCGUCCAAAAACUGAAAGAAAAUUAUGAAAGAGUGACCUUUUCAGCCAAAAAUCUCAUUAGCUGAACAUCAAAUCAAACAUGUACAACCACUCAUUUGCCAAACCACGAGUUGCAGAAGAUGAUAGUGUUCUUUCAUUCACUACAGAGCCUCUGAACAUCCAAAACAGACACAUCUGAUACCACUGAAAUGCUUAGAAACUGUGAUUUACCCAAAUUAUGUCAAAGUAUUGAUGGGAUUAGUGGAUCACAAGUUAUUAGAAUUUCUAGAUCAGUGUUUUUUUUUGGUCGCCAGCAGCUGUUGGAGUCUGUGAAGGUUAAUCGCAUUGUACAAACUGCACCUUACCUGAAACUGUCAUUCACACUCCAACUCCAGGAUUUAACAGAUACCACUCCUUAAGUUCCUUUAAAAUAUUUACUAUUGUUGUCACGUCUACAUCCACCUGGAGUCAUUUGUUUUUCAUGUAAAAAAAAAAAAAAAAAAAAAAUCAAACAUGGAAUUGGUUAAAGACAUCUCUCACAUGAUUAAUUGUAAGAUUUGACAAAUGGCGUCACCCUUGUUUUAGUGAACUAUCAGGAAAAUGUCUCAUCCGUUGAUUUAUUUUGCUCGUAUCCUUCUCUCUGUUUGAUAUUCAAUUUAUUCUAAAGCUUUUUUUGUACAUGACAGCACAUUGUACUCAAAAUGUAAGAAUAUUCUGCUCAAAUGGAAAAUAUAUGAUGUUUCAAAAAAAAGGAUAAGUCAUGUUUUGCCGUUUCCAUAGUGUACUCUUGCUGUAAAAAAUAUAGACUUUUCUUUUUUUUUAUUCCUUUAAUGUGAUGCAAUUCUUUGUUUGCUAAAGGGAAUCUUUGGCUCUGUAACACUUUAACGUGGAAGAAAAGUCAUAAAAAUGCUGGUUGACUGCUCGAAUGUUGCAGUAUAAAAGCCAGAGUGAAACUGUAAAUUAUUUGUGACGUGUUUUUAAGUGCAUGUUUUUGGUAUUCCCCCCCCCCCCCCAUGUUUAUUUUAUCUUGUACCCCCUCCAUCAAACUUUGGUGAUUAUUUGAUGAUGUUUAAAGUUAUUAGUGAAUUAAAAGCCCGUGCUGUGA